CAUUCUCUACCCUAAGAAUCUUGCUUCCUUUGGUUCCCACCAGAGCCACUGCCUCUGCUGAAAUGUGUCACCUCCAGUGCCCCUUGGAGCAAAGUCAACGCGGCAGGUAGAAAAAACAGCCAAUUUAGAGCAGUGUCUCAGAGCUUGCCCACCGCUGCAAAUGCCACCACGACAUAAAGCUUUCUGUUGCACCACAUCGUCCCUCUGUGAAGGCUGAUGUCUGAAACCGCGGUUCUCGGAAGCCUCCCCUCCUGCACCUUGUGUCUUAUCCCCGUGGUAAGAAAAGCGGUGGAUAUGGAUGGGCCUCUUUUAAAGCUGUGCAAAGUCACCAGUGGAUGAGCGAAUGGGCACGUGUCUGCAGAGCUGGCUCCCUUCUCCGCAACCUUUUCCCUUCUUUCAUAUUGGAUAACUGGAGAUCAUGAUAGGACCCAGAAGAUCUGACCACUGCUCCAGCUCAGACUUCUUUUUAUUGGGCAAUCAGUCUUAAGCAAGAAGACCUUGACCUCCCACCCUCUGCUUCUUUGACUGUACUUCUGCAUGCUUAGAAAUGGAGCUAUAAAAUCUGUCUUGGUGGUGUUCAUAUCAGCCUUCUCUAGCCUUUGGGGAGUAAAAACUAUUAUAAGAAGAAAUAAAAACUUGGCUUAUAAUCCCAUGAUCCAGUAAGAACUCACAGAAGAGCUUCAUCAAGAGAGACUGUGUCUCCUAGGAAUAUCAGAGGCCACACCCGUAAACUCUCUGUCCAAACACGAGCUGCACAGGAUGACCCCAACUGGACACUAAAGCGGACAAGAGGAAGCUUACGAGGUCUCAGCCCACAGGCGAGUGGGGCGUGCUGAGGAUGGGAGAAACAGUCUCCUAAGCGAAGAGUGGGCGGCCCCGAAAACACACUCACAAGUAGCAGUCGUCAGAGGCAGUGGGUUGUAUCUAUCUGUUUUGGAAUGUAUGUAUUUACCUAUAACUUUGUAACAACAAUUAAUAAAGAAAAGAGAC